rnacentral:snRNA from 1 species
AUACUUACCUAGCAGGGGAGAUAUAAUCACAAAGGUGGUUUUCCCAGGAGAGGCUUAUCCACUGUACUCCAGAUGCGCUAACCCCUGCGAUUUCCCCAAAUGUGGGAAACUCGACUGCAUAAUUUGUGGUAGUGGGGGACUGCAUUCAUGCUCUCCCUUA